GGGUUGUGAGGUUAAGCGACUAAGCGUACACGGUGGAUGCCCUGGCAGUCAGAGGCGAUGAAGGACGUGCUAAUCUGCGAUAAGCGCCGGUAAGGUGAUAUGAACCGUUAUAACCGGCGAUUUCCGAAUGGGGAAACCCAGUGUGUUUCGACACACUAUCAUUACGUGAAUACAUAGCGUAAUGAAGCGAACCGGGGGAACUGAAACAUCUAAGUACCCCGAGGAAAAGAAAUCAACCGAGAUUCCCCCAGUAGCGGCGAGCGAACGGGGAGGAGCCCAGAGCCUGAAUCAGCAUGUGUGUUAGUGGAAGCGUCUGGAAAGGCGCGCGAUACAGGGUGACAGCCCCGUACACAAAAGCGCAUGUGCUGUGAGCUCGAUGAGUAGGGCGGGACACGUGGUAUCCUGUCUGAAUAUGGGGGGACCAUCCUCCAAGGCUAAAUACUCCUGACUGACCGAUAGUGAACCAGUACCGUGAGGGAAAGGCGAAAAGAACCCCGGCGAGGGGAGUGAAAAAGAACCUGAAACCGUGUGCGUACAAGCAGUGGGAGCACAGGUUUACCUGUGUGACUGCGUACCUUUUGUAUAAUGGGUCAGCGACUUAUAUUCUGUAGCAAGGUUAACCGAAUAGGGGAGCCGGAGGGAAACCGAGUCUUAACCGGGCGUUAAGUUGCAGGGUAUAGACCCGAAACCCGGUGAUCUAGCCAUGGGCAGGUUGAAGGUUGGGUAACACUAACUGGAGGACCGAACCGACUAAUGUUGAAAAAUUAGCGGAUGACCUGUGGCUGGGGGUGAAAGGCCAAUCAAACCGGGAGAUAGCUGGUUCUCCCCGAAAGCUAUUUAGGUAGCGCCUCGUGAAUUCAUCUCCGGGGGUAGAGCACUGUUUCGGCUAGGGGGCCAUCCCGGCUUACCAACCCGAUGCAAACUGCGAAUACCGGAGAAUGUUAUCACGGGAGACACACGGCGGGUGCUAACGUCCGUCGUGAAGAGGGAAACAACCCAGACCGCCAGCUAAGGUCCCAAAGUCAUGGUUAAGUGGGAAACGAUGUGGGAAGGCCCAGACAGCCAGGAUGUUGGCUUAGAAGCAGCCAUCAUUUAAAGAAAGCGUAAUAGCUCACUGGUCGAGUCGGCCUGCGCGGAAGAUGUAACGGGGCUAAACCAUGCACCGAAGCUGCGGCAGCGACACUGUGUGUUGUUGGGUAGGGGAGCGUUCUGUAAGCCUGUGAAGGUGGCCUGUGAGGGUUGCUGGAGGUAUCAGAAGUGCGAAUGCUGACAUAAGUAACGAUAAAGCGGGUGAAAAGCCCGCUCGCCGGAAGACCAAGGGUUCCUGUCCAACGUUAAUCGGGGCAGGGUGAGUCGACCCCUAAGGCGAGGCCGAAAGGCGUAGUCGAUGGGAAACGGGUUAAUAUUCCCGUACUUGGUGUUACUGCGAAGGGGGGACGGAGAAGGCUAUGUUGGCCGGGCGACGGUUGUCCCGGUUUAAGCGUGUAGGUGUGUGUUCCAGGUAAAUCCGGUUCACUUUAACACUGAGGCGUGACGACGAGGCACUACGGUGCUGAAGCAACAAAUGCCCUGCUUCCAGGAAAAGCCUCUAAGCAUCAGGUAACAUCAAAUCGUACCCCAAACCGACACAGGUGGUCAGGUAGAGAAUACCAAGGCGCUUGAGAGAACUCGGGUGAAGGAACUAGGCAAAAUGGUGCCGUAACUUCGGGAGAAGGCACGCUGACACGUAGGUGAAGUGAUUUACUCAUGGAGCUGAAGUCAGUCGAAGAUACCAGCUGGCUGCAACUGUUUAUUAAAAACACAGCACUGUGCAAACACGAAAGUGGACGUAUACGGUGUGACGCCUGCCCGGUGCCGGAAGGUUAAUUGAUGGGGUCAGCGCAAGCGAAGCUCCUGAUCGAAGCCCCGGUAAACGGCGGCCGUAACUAUAACGGUCCUAAGGUAGCGAAAUUCCUUGUCGGGUAAGUUCCGACCUGCACGAAUGGCGUAAUGAUGGCCAGGCUGUCUCCACCCGAGACUCAGUGAAAUUGAACUCGCUGUGAAGAUGCAGUGUACCCGCGGCAAGACGGAAAGACCCCGUGAACCUUUACUAUAGCUUGACACUGAACAUUGAGCCUUGAUGUGUAGGAUAGGUGGGAGGCUUUGAAGUGUGGACGCCAGUCUGCAUGGAGCCGACCUUGAAAUACCACCCUUUAAUGUUUGAUGUUCUAACGUGGACCCGUUACCCGGGUUGCGGACAGUGUCUGGUGGGUAGUUUGACUGGGGCGGUCUCCUCCUAAAGAGUAACGGAGGAGCACGAAGGUUGGCUAAUCCUGGUCGGACAUCAGGAGGUUAGUGCAAUGGCAUAAGCCAGCUUGACUGCGAGCGUGACGGCGCGAGCAGGUGCGAAAGCAGGUCAUAGUGAUCCGGUGGUUCUGAAUGGAAGGGCCAUCGCUCAACGGAUAAAAGGUACUCCGGGGAUAACAGGCUGAUACCGCCCAAGAGUUCAUAUCGACGGCGGUGUUUGGCACCUCGAUGUCGGCUCAUCACAUCCUGGGGCUGAAGUAGGUCCCAAGGGUAUGGCUGUUCGCCAUUUAAAGUGGUACGCGAGCUGGGUUUAGAACGUCGUGAGACAGUUCGGUCCCUAUCUGCCGUGGGCGCUGGAGAAUUGAGGGGGGCUGCUCCUAGUACGAGAGGACCGGAGUGGACGCAUCACUGGUGUUCGGGUUGUCAUGCCAAUGGCACUGCCCGGUAGCUAAAUGCGGAAGAGAUAAGUGCUGAAAGCAUCUAAGCACGAAACUUGCCCCGAGAUGAGUUCUCCCUGAGACUUUAAGUCUCCUGAAGGAACGUUGAAGACGACGACGUUGAUAGGCCGGGUGUGUAAGCGCAGCGAUGCGUUGAGCUAACCGGUACUAAUGAACCGUGAGGCUUAACCUUACAACGCCGAAG
rnacentral:rRNA from 1 species